rnacentral:lncRNA from 1 species
CUAAAGCGGAAGUGUUCUUAGGCAGCCAUUUUUCUCGCCGGCACCACCUAUCUGAUACAGUCAGUGAAAAAGCCGAAAAAUUACAAUUUACGGUUGUAAUUGUCCAGUUACUGAUUUGCUUUUUUAGACUAUAUUCAGAGUUAAAGAAAAGACGAGAAAGGAAAUAGUUCCGGAAAAUGGUGCUGAUGGCAAUGAAGCUGAAGUUCGACUCUGAACAUUUUAGUGACUACCCGCAAUGAGUUGGAACGCACACGUUGAGAGCCUGAUGAUGGGUCCAGGUAUGAAGAUGGCUGGAGUUUUUAGAAUGGACGGCAACCCAUGGGCAAAAUCCAGCGCUUUCAACCCGACACAGCCAGAAAUAGGUCGAUUGAUUAAGCUUGUUCAAGGAAGGGACAUUGGUGGCGAAAGUAUUACGAUAUGUGGAACGAAGUACAUGUUCAGGAGUCCAGCUGAGGAUGGACUUUUAACAGUAUUAUCGUUAGGCGGCGAGGAAAAAUAUGUUUGUAAUGUCUGCCAGACGACUCGUGGAGUGAUUGUGGGAGUGUCACAGGCCUCGGUAGCAGGGGCGUCAAGAGAAUAUCUAGAUAAAUAUAAGAACUAUUUGAAAGGAAUAGGAUAUUAGAGAGAAUUCAGCAUCGUUCAUAAAGUGUACAUAAAGAAUGAUCAGUUCAUUAAAUGCUGGUAAUCUGCGAUAAGUGUUAUAUCAAAGUUAUACAUUUAAAUUUCUCAUUUUAGACUUUAAGAAAUGAACAAACAUAUAAAUGCAAUUACUUUUGUUGAAAUAUUUUCGAAUUUAUUUAGUUAUUCACAGAUCAAAAUACUGCUUCAGCAUUUAAACACAAAGUAGGUUUUUAUCAUGGAACAGAGAUGAUGCACAGUAUUAUGGAUUUAAGGUAUUUGAAGGGAGUGUUGAGGGUGGGGUUGUGGGUGGGGGGGGGGGGUGGGAAGUGGGGCUUUUCCGUAUAAAGGAAAUGUCAGAUUUUUACUUGAAUUAUUAAAACACAAUAUACAAACAAUACUCAUAUGACUUGUAAUCAUUGGUUGUCUAAAAUGUGUUAGGAAAGAACAAAACUUUUAAGUUCAUAAUACAAAGGAAUUUAUUCAUUUGUUCUGUUACUUAGGCACUACAAAGUCAUGUGACAUAAAAGAUUAAGAUUCGUGUAAUUUCAACUUUAUAUCAAACUACAUGCUGUAAACUGAAAAAACACAUACCAUAGAAAGAAUUGUUCAACAAAGACUUCUCUGAGCUUUAAAGACGGAAACAUUCAAACAUGAUGAAGACAUAACUGGGUGAUUGGAUGUUGUUUAGAAUCACAGACUGAUUUAGGAUGAAGAACGACAACUGCACAGAGCUUCUUUUUUUUACUCAUUCCAUUGCUAUAUAUAUUGUACCGGUACAUAGAUAUCUUCUUAAUGAAAUACUGUCUUCCUAGAGCAGAAACAUUCUGAACAAACAUAAAAGUUAUGAAUUUCUGUCUUAAAUGUGUUAAUUAUGUUUGUAUUUGUGCCAUUAUUGUCAGAACAUUCUGUGUAUGAUUUGAGUUUUUCAUUUUAAAAUGUUCUCACUGUUUUCUCAAAGUUUCUUGAAAACUUUGAAAAGCAUAAAAAAAUGCGUUGAUGUUUGAUUAAAGUUGAAAGGAAAGCUGCAGAUUGUGAACUAUUCUUGUAUCUCCCUGUGUGAAGAUUGGGCUAGCGUAUUAAACUUGUCCUAUAUAUAUCUUUACACAAAUUUUACUUACAGCCAAACUGAUGAUGUUAUUAUAAGCAAACCUAUUUUUGCAUACUGUAAAAGGACAUAUUUUCGCUGGGUCAAAAUUUCGCGAAUUUGAAAUUUUGAGUAUGUCGGGACGUAAAAUAUUCAUGAAAUUGUAAAAAUGGUGUCCUGCUUGAAUAAGAAUUAUACUAAUGGUGAAUAUUUACGCGAGGAUUAAUUUUCGCUAGAUGUAGAGCCUCGCGAAUAUAGCGAAAAUAAUAUUUUUGCUUUAACAUUAAAUAUUUUCUUUCCGGCUAAAUGAACUUUGACAGAUUCUUCUAUUUUAAAUAAAACUUAGUCUAUAAAU